GUCAAAUCCAUGCAGUUCCAAGGAACAACGGGAUUCCAAAGAACAGUCUGGUUCCCAAGGGAACGGGACCAAAGGUUGAUCAACACACUUCCAAGGGACAGUCUUUUCCCAAGGGAGUCAGGCUGAAGCCUGCACACGUAUAGUUCUGAUGAUAGUCCAGAAGUCAGACCAAAAGCUAAGCAAUUUCAGUUGAAACAGUCUGGUUCCAAAAGGAAUUGGACCAAAGGCUAGCAUAGUUCAAAGGAAUAGCCUGAUUCAAAGGGUUAGGCUGAAGUGCCACCCAAGUGCUUACAGACAAACAAGCCCUUAACCAGAAAAGGACGAAGACUUGAAAUAGAUCUUGACUACAGCCUGGAGAGCCUCCAAUAGGGUGGAAGCUUGGAUCCAGAAAAGACUUACCUUCAAACUCCAGGGCUGACAAGAAAAGCAGCGAGCUCAAUGAGCUCUCUUGUGGGUACCACAGCAGUUUGCUCACCAGCCUUGGAGGCCUUGGGGGUCUUCCCUGGAUUCCCACAUGGACCACCAAAAUAUUGACUUUAAACAAAUAGACAACCAGUUAUUUCUCCAGAAAAAGUGGGUUUAUUCAGGAUCAGUAAAGAAUUGCAACUGAGCGUCUGCAACCGUGAGAAAGCAGCUGCAAUGGAAAGAACACGGAUGACAAAGGCAAUGUGGACACAGAGCACUCUUACAGACAGCAAGCUCUUCACGCCAAAGAGCACUCCUGGGAUUUCCAAGAUGCAUCCAAAACACCUGGAGAGGUAAAUCUGCAGCUUCCUCCAGGGGUUUGGACUAUCAGACUGAGACAGGGCCUGGAAGUCUGCAUUCUAAAUUGCUCUCGAAGAAAUUAAUUGAUUAGAAGAGAGUUGCCAUAAAAGUGCCAUAAGACAGGUUAACAAGACAAUCACCAUUGUCAACUGAAAUAAAAAGUCUGAGUAAAGGUUAACUAAAGGAGUUUAUUUGAUAAUCAAGGAGAAGAACUCAAAUCCCAGAAAAUAGUCCAACAGAGUAUUCUGAGGAACUGCUCCAAGUUCUACAGAUCUGAGUGCAGUUUUUACACUUUUGACAAAGCAGUUUCUGUGCAGGAAAGGACUCACCCAUCUAAUAGCCAUGUACUUCAAA
rnacentral:lncRNA from 1 species